GAUGAACGCUGGCGGCGUGCCUAAUACAUGCAAGUCGAGCGAACAGACGAGGAGCUUGCUCCUCUGACGUUAGCGGCGGACGGGUGAGUAACACGUGGAUAACCUACCUAUAAGACUGGGAUAACUUCGGGAAACCGGAGCUAAUACCGGAUAAUAUAUUGGACCGCAUGGUUCAAUAGUGAAAGACGGUUUUGCUGUCACUUAUAGAUGGAUCCGCGCCGCAUUAGCUAGUUGGUAAGGUAACGGCUUACCAAGGCAACGAUGCGUAGCCGACCUGAGAGGGUGAUCGGCCACACUGGAACUGAGACACGGUCCAGACUCCUACGGGAGGCAGCAGUAGGGAAUCUUCCGCAAUGGGCGAAAGCCUGACGGAGCAACGCCGCGUGAGUGAUGAAGGUCUUCGGAUCGUAAAACUCUGUUAUUAGGGAAGAACAAAUGUGUAAGUAACUAUGCACGUCUUGACGGUACCUAAUCAGAAAGCCACGGCUAACUACGU
rnacentral:rRNA from 1 species